rnacentral:tRNA from 1 species
GGGGGUGUAGCUCAGAGGUAGAGUGCUUGCCUUGCAUGCAUGAGGACCUAGGUUAGAUCCCUAUUGUCACAA